rnacentral:rRNA from 1 species
GGGAGCCUGAGAAACGGCUACCACAUCCAAGGAAGGCAGCAGGCGCGCAAAUUACCCAAUCCCGACACGGGGAGGUAGUGACAAUAAAUAACAAUACGGGGCUCUUUAGGGUCUCGUAAUUGGAAUGAGUACAAUUUAAAUCCCUUAACGAGGAACAAUUGGAGGGCAAGUCUGGUGCCAGCAGCCGCGGUAAUUCCAGCUCCAAUAGCGUAUAUUAAAGUUGUUGCAGUUAAAAAGCUCGUAGUUGAAUUUCGGGAUUGGCGCAUCGGUCGUGCCUCACGGGGUAUGAACUGGUGCAGUCAAUUUCUCACCUUCUGGAGAACCGCGAUGUCCUUAAUUGGAUGCCGUGGGGAACCAGGACCUUUACUUUGAAAAAAUUAGAGUGUUUAAAGCAGGCAUUUUUGCUUGAAUACAUUAGCAUGGAAUAAUAAAAUAGGACGGCAUGGUUCUAUUUUGUUGGUUUCUAGGACCACCGUAAUGAUUAAUAGGGAUAGUUGGGGGCAUUAGUAUUCAAUUGUCAGAGGUGAAAUUCUUGGAUUUAUUGAAGACUAACUACUGCGAAAGCAUUUGCCAAGGAUGUUUUCAUUAAUCAAGAACGAAAGUUAGGGGAUCGAAGACGAUCAGAUACCGUCGUAGUCUUAACCAUAAACUAUGCCGACUAGGAAUCAGACGAUGUUAAUUUUUUAAUGACUCGUUUGGCACCUUACGG